UACGGAGGGUGCAAGCGUUAUCCGGAUUCACUGGGUUUAAAGGGUGCGUAGGCGGGCAGGUAAGUCAGUGGUGAAAUCUCCGAGCUUAACUCGGAAACUGCCAUUGAUACUAUUUGUCUUGAAUAUUGUGGAGGUAAGCGGAAUAUGUCAUGUAGCGGUGAAAUGCUUAGAUAUGACAUAGAACACCAAUUGCGAAGGCAGCUCACUACACGAGCAUUGACUCUGAGGCACGAAAGCGUGGGGAUCAAACAGG
rnacentral:rRNA from 1 species